CACAUUCUGCACAUGAAGCUGGCUCAGGACACUUAGGCUCUCCAGCUUGUCACUUUUGUCACCACAGGCAAUGGGCACGUGGGCAUCUACUCUCCCCCAACCCCUGCCAUUAGUCCUUCACACGUCAUGCAUUUUCCUUACCUGCCAGGCCCCAGAGGUAAACCCUAGGCUGUGUCAUGGGAAGAGCAGCAAGAUGGUGGGUGAUUUUGUUAAGCAAGAAGCAGCUUUCGAAAGGACCAGAGUAUCUGAUGAAGAAAGAAUAAGCACUCAGGAAUAAUGGUUGAAGGAGUGAAUGACUCUGCAAACAUAUUGGUGAGAGAGGGAGAGAAGUGGGGAGGAGAAAUAGAGAGAAAGGGGAAGAGAGAAUCUUAACCAGUCUCUACGCCCAGCACGGAGCCCAACAUGGGGCUUGGAUCUCACGCCAUGACAUCAUGACCUGAGCGGAAAUCAAGAGUUGGAUGCUUAACUGACUGAGCCACCCAGGCUUCCCUAAGGCUAUUGAUUUUUUUUUUUUUAAUUUGUUAAGUAAUCUCUACACCCAUUGUGGGGUCUCAAACUCACAACCCCAAGAUCACACUUGGAGUUGCACACUCCACCAACUAGCCAGGAACCCCAAGCCUAUUAAUUAUUGCUUACUAAAUUUGUACUCAAACACCUACUGAAUUCUUUCUGGGUUACAGAUUUUUAGUUAAAUUUCUUACAUUUUCUAACUUAUAAUUUUAUCAUAUUUUCUUUAAAUAAUAUCCCCUCUUUUUUAAUCACUUGUCCAUUUGUUUAUUUAUAUUGGUAA